GACGAACGCUGGCGGCGUGCUUAACACAUGCAAGUCGAACGGUGAAGCGCCUUCCUUUUUGGUGGGUGUGGAUGAGUGGCGAACGGGUGAGUAACACGUGAGUAACCUGCCCCCUUCUUCUGGAUAACCGCAUGAAAGUGUGGCUAAUACGGGAUAUUCUGGGUCUGUCGCAUGAUGGGUUUGGGAAAGAUAUUGUUUCGGUGGGGGACGGGCUCGCGGCCUAUCAGCUUGUUGGUGGGGGGAGGCCCUACCAAGGCGGUGACGGGUUGCCGGCCUGAGAGGGUGGGCGGUCACACUGGGACUGAGACACGGCCCAGACUCCUAGGGGAGGCAGCGGGGAGGAAUAGUGCACAGUGGGCGCAAGCCUGAUGCAGCGACGCCGCGGGAGGGAUGGAGGCCUGCGGGUUGUGAACCUCUUUCGCCAGUGAAGCAGGCCUGCCUAGUUUGUGGGUGGGUUGACGGUAGCUGGAUAAGAAGCGCCGGCUAACUACGUG
rnacentral:rRNA from 1 species